AUGCAGGAGGAAAGUGAGGAGCCUCAGAACUCGGGCCUCACAGUAGUAUUUGGACAGGUGGUCAAGAGGCCGACUGCACCUGCGCAUACAUCACACGGGGCCUCCUCUUUUGCAGCCUCCCCCACCGCCCCAUCAGUCUUCCCUCUGGUACCUGGCUGCGGGAGCAAAUCUAGCUCCACCGUGACCCUGGGAUGCCUGGUCUCCAACUACAUCCCAGAGCCUGUGACAGUGUCCUGGAACUCAGGUGCCCUGUCUGGUGCGCACACCUUCCCGGCCGUCCUGCAGUCGUCUGGCCUCUACACCCUCAGCAGCGCUGUGACUGUGCCCGCCAGCAGCUGGUCCAGCCAGACCUACACUUGCAGUGUCAGCCACCCUGCCACCAACACCAAAGUGGACAAGAAAAUCGGUAGGCCACAGGCAGGGGCAUCCCCCUGUCCCCAACACCCCAUCCCUGACUCUCAACUCUUCCUACCAGGAAGCCCAAUAGGACCCUCCAUCUUCAUCUUCCCACCCAAAGCCAAGGACGUACUCAAGAUCUCCCAAAAGCCUGAGGUGGCUUGUCUGGUGGUGGAUUUGGGCCAUGAUGACCCUGAGGUCCACUUCACCUGGUAUGUGGAUGGCGUAGAGAUGGAAACAGCCAAGACCAGCCCACGAGAGGAACAGUUCAACAGCACUUACCGUGUGGUCAGCGUGCUCCCCAUCCAGCACCAGGACUGGCUCCAGGGCAAGGAGUUCAAGUGCAAGGUCAGCAGUGAGGCCUUCCCAUCUCCUGUUGAGAGGACCACCUCCAAGGCCAAAGGACAGCCCCAGGAGCCCCAGGUGUACCCCCUGCCCCCUCAUCAGGACGAACUGGCCAAGGGCAAGGCCACCCUUACCUGUAUGAUUACGGGAUUCUACCCCGAGUCCAUCGAUGUGGAGUGGAAGCACAAUGAGCAGCUGGAGUCAGAAGACAGCUACCUGAACACCUUGCCUCAGGUCAUGCCAGAUGGGAACUUCUUCAUGUACAGCAGGCUCACUGUGCCCAAGGACAACUGGGACAAGGAAGACACCUACAAAUGCGUGGUGAUGCAUGAGGCGCUGCACAACCACUACACCGAGAAGUCCAUUUCCCAAUCUCCUGAGCUUCACCCGGAUGAGAGCUGUGCGGAGGCCCAGGAGGGAGAGCUGGAUGGGCUGUGGACCACCAUCUCCAUCUUCAUCACUCUCUUCCUGCUAAGUGUCUGCUACAGUGCCACCAUCACCCUCUUCAAGGUGAAGUGGAUUUUCUCCUCCAUGGUGGAGCUGAAGCGCACAAUCGUGCCCGACUACAGGAACAUGAUCGGACAGGCAGCCUAG